ensembl:snRNA U2 U2 spliceosomal RNA
AUUGCUUCUCGACCUUUUGGCUAAGAUCAAGUGUAGUAGCUGCUCUUAUCCGUUUAAUAUUUGAUAUGUCCUCUAUCCAAGGGCAAUAUACUAAAUGGAUUUUUGGAGCAGGGAGAUAGAAUAGGAGCUUGCUCCAUCCACUCCGCACAUUGAUUGGUAUUGUAGUACCUCCAGGAAUGAUGCACCCCUC